GAUGAACGCUAGCGGCAGGCUUAAUACAUGCAAGUCGUGGGGCAGCAUGAGUAGCAAUACUUGAUGGCGACCGGCAAACGGGUGAGGAACACGUACACAACCUUCCUUCAAGCGGGGGAUAGCCCAGAGAAAUUUGGAUUAAAUACCCCAUAAAUAUAUUUGAUAAGGCAUCUUAUUAAUAUUAAAGCUUCGGCACUUGAUGAUGGGUGUGCGGCUGAUUAGAUAGUUGGCGGGGUAACGGCCCACCAAGUCUACGAUCAGUAGCUGAUGUGAGAGCAUGAUCAGCCACACGGGCACUGAGACACGGGCCCGACUCCUACGGGAGGCAGCAGUAAGGAAUAUUGGAACAAUGGACGAAAGUCUGAUCCAGCCAUGCCGCGUGAAGGAUUAAGGUCCUCU
rnacentral:rRNA from 1 species